rnacentral:rRNA from 1 species
GACGAACGCUGGCGGCGUGCCUAAUACAUGCAAGUUGAGCGCUGAAGGUUGGUACUUGUACCAACUGGAUGAGCAGCGAACGGGUGAGUAACGCGUGGGGAAUCUGCCUUUGAGCGGGGGACAACAUUUGGAAACGAAUGCUAAUACCGCAUAAAAACUUUAAACACAAGUUUUAAGUUUGAAAGAUGCAAUUGCAUCACUCAAAGAUGAUCCCGCGUUGUAUUAGCUAGUUGGUGAGGUAAAGGCUCACCAAGGCGAUGAUACAUAGCCGACCUGAGAGGGUGAUCGGCCAAAAUGGGACUGAGACACGGCCCAAACUCCUACGGGAGGCAGCAGUAGGGAAUCUUCGGCAAUGGACGAAAGUCUGACCGAGCAACGCCGCGGGAGUGAAGAAGGUUGUCGGAUCGUAAAACUCUGUUGGUAGAGAAGAACGUUGGUGAGAGUGGAAAGCUCAUCAAGUGACGGUAACUACCCAGAAAGGGACGGCUAACUACGUG